rnacentral:rRNA from 1 species
UGGUCUGAGAGGACGAUCAGCCACACUGGGACUGAGACACGGCCCAGACUCCUACGGGAGGCAGCAGUGGGGAAUUUUCCCGCAAUGGGCGAAAGCCUGAUGGAGGCAAUACCGCGUGAGGGAGGAAGGCUCUUGGGUCGUAAACCUCUUUUCUCAGGGAAGAGACACAAUGACGGUACCUGAGGAAUAAGCAUCGGCUAACUCCGUGCCAGGCAGCCGCGGUCAAUACGGAGGAUGCAAGCGUUAUCCGGAAUAAUUGGGCGUAAAGCGUCCGCAGGUGGCGAUGUAAGUCUGCUGUUAAAGCGUCUUAGCUCAACUAGAUAAGAGCAGUGGAAAUCUACUUCGCUAGAGUGCGUUCGGGGACAGAGGGAUAUUCCUGGUGUAGCGGUGAAAUGCGUAGAGAUCAGGAAGAACACCAGUGGCGAAGGCGCUCUGCUAGGCCGUCAACUGACACUGAGGGACGAAAGCUAAGGGGAGCGAAUGGUGAUUAGAUACCCCAGUAGUCCUAGCCGUAAACGAUGGAUACUAGGCGUGGCAUUGUAUCGACCCGAGCCGUGCCCGUAGCUAACGUCGUUAAGUAUCCCGCCUGGGGAGUACGCCGGCAACGGUGAAACUCAAAGGAAUUGACGGGCGGCCCGCACAAGCGGUGGAGUAUGUGGUUUAAUUCGAUGCAACGCGAAGAACCUUACCAAGGCUUGACAUGUCGCGAAUCUUACUUGAAAGGGGAGAGUGCCUUCGGGAGCGCGAACAGCA